rnacentral:rRNA from 1 species
GGAAACCCGCCCUGAGAUGAGGUAUCCCGGGGAUUUAAUCCCCCUGAAGGGCCCUCGUAGACUACGAGGGUGAUAGGCCGGGUGUGUAAGCGCAGCGAUGCGCUCAGCUAACCGGUACUAAUCGCCCGUGAGGCUUGACCACUAU